AUCAUCUGACUGCUUGUAGCUGUGGAAGGGCGGCGUAGAAGAGGAAAGGCUGGGGGUUUCGGAUGGUUGUUUUUGAAGCCAUCAGUAUUCUUGAAGAAGCAGCAUAUCUUGAACUGUCCUAUGGGUGAAGGCUUUGAUGUGGUCCUGUAAAAACUGGGAAGAUUUGGAGGAUCAUCUGAAUACCCAUCCAACAGAGAUCCAUGAUUCAUGUAUUUCUCAAGACAGCCAUACACUAAAAUUAUAAGAUCAUAAGAAUAUUAAUUAUAUUCUACCAAUGCAAUACAAGCAUUGAAAUGGAUGGCAUCUGAUCCUGCUUCAUGUGAUUCUUCAUUUAGCUCUGGACUCUUUACAUCAUUAAGGCUUUUUCUUUGCAGGAAUUUAAAAGCAACCCUAUGAAUAUAACAUUUGUCAAAAAGAGCAAGUGCCAAGCCAGUUGAGAAUAACCUUACAAUGUGUACAAGGAUUCCAGCUUAUGCAACAUGAAAAUGGCAAGGAUGAAGACCUUUAUGAUGAUCCAUUUCCAUUUAAUGAAUAGAAGAAGUGUUAUCAAUUCUGUUGAUGGACCCCUUAAUCUCUUCUACUGAUUAUCUUCUACUUGAACCAGUGCCAAAUUAAUGUUGCAAGCUUUGUCUUGAAAUAUGUAAGACUUAUAACUUUGUUGUUAUUCCA
rnacentral:lncRNA from 1 species